CCCAGAGGAAUGAUACCCAGGGAGCCAUGUCCUUGAGGAAAAUUGCUGGGGCAGCAGGUACCAGGUGGACUAGGGCUUGAGGGAGGGGUUAAGGGACGGUUUCAGAAACACCCGUGGAUAGGGAGAGCACCUGAGCAGACCUCACCUGGGAAGGGCAGUGAGAAUGAGAGAUGGGAGUAGAAGGGGGCCACUCUCAGGAAAGCGGACCAGGGCCAGGUGCUACCCUGAGGCCUGGGGAAUGGGUGGAGUGUGAUGGGGAGGGGGUGCCCUCAUCCCACGCAUCUGGGGGUAUUCCUCCCUCCUUGGGCUCAUGCAUCCUGAAGGAAUUUAAUUUCCAGGCAUCACAGGAGGAAAAGAAAAAGAGUGAGACAGAGAGCUGAUCUUCAGCCCCGGGAAGAAGUUGCGGUGCUGGGACACAUACCAAUGAGCAUCGGGGACCCUGCCUAGGAGGAGGUCCCUGAAAAGGUCCCUAAUUAACGGUCAGGAAGGAAGAUGGCUUAUGGCCCACAGACGCAGGCAGCGGCGUGAAUCUGAUCAGCUGAUUAAAUUAAGGCCCAAGCCUGGACAGCCACAGGGACAGGAGGGCACUGGGUGCCUUGGACCUGGGGUCGCACGUGUGGAGUGGUGGCACCGAGCAGGCCAGGAGCUGCCUAACCACAGGUGGAAGAAGUUAACUAGAUGCUGAUCACAAGCCCACGGACCCCAGGCAAUUGGAACCAGAAGACUGAUGAUGUUGACUCCCAGUUACCUUCCCACCCAUCAGAAGA